UACGGGGGGGGCAAGCGUUGUUCGGAAUUACUGGGCGUAAAGGGCUCGUAGGCGGCCCACUAAGUCAGACGUGAAAUCCCUCGGCUUAACCGGGGAACUGCGUCUGAUACUGGAUGGCUUGAGUUUGGGAGAGGGAUGCGGAAUUCCAGGUGUAGCGGUGAAAUGCGUAGAUAUCUGGAGGAACACCGGUGGCGAAGGCGGCAUCCUGGACCGACACUGACGCUGAGGAGCGAAAGCCAGGGGAGCAAACGGG
rnacentral:rRNA from 1 species